rnacentral:misc_RNA from 1 species
GAUCUUUGAGUAAACGCUACAAAUGUACUUCAACUUCGUAUAUUAAUGAUAAAAUCGAUUCUUCGGUAGAAAUGGAAGAAUAGAUUUGUCGAUUACAAUUUACAUUAAAAACAAUGUAUGAAAAUUGACACGGCAUAGUUUUCCGAGAAGAUUUCUUCGGAGAAGCUUUUAAGCGUACCCAAAAGUACCAUUUUCACGAGCGUUUUGAAAAUGGAGGAGUCUGAAUAUUAAUGCAAAGUGCCCUUAAUAUUUCAACAAGUGAG